UAAGCAUAUCAAUAAGCGGAGGAAAAGAAACUAACAAGGAUUCCCCUAGUAACUGCGAGUGAAGCGGGAAAAGCUCAAAUUUAAAAUCUGGCGGUCUUUGGCUGUCCGAGUUGUAAUCUAGAGAAGUGUUAUCCGUGCUGGACCGUGUACAAGUCUCCUGGAAUGGAGCGUCAUAGAGGGUGAGAAUCCCGUCUUUGACACGGACUGCCAGGACUUUGUGAUGCGCUCUCAAAGAGUCGAGUUGUUUGGGAAUGCAGCUCAAAAUGGGUGGUAAAUUCCAUCUAAAGCUAAAUAUUGGCGAGAGACCGAUAGCGAACAAGUACCGUGAGGGAAAGAUGAAAAGAACUUUGGAAAGAGAGUUAAACAGUACGUGAAAUUGCUGAAAGGGAAACGCUUGAAGUCAGUCGUGUUAUCUGGGAAUCAACCUUGCUUUUGCUGGGCGUACUUUCCAGAUGAUAGGCCAGCAUCAAUUUUGACCGUUGGAUAAAGAUUGGAGGAAUGUGGCAUCUUCGGAUGUGUUAUAGCCUUUAGUUGCAUACAACGAUUGGGAUUGAGGAACUCAGCACGCCGCAAGGCUGGGUACUUGUACCACAUUCGUGCUUAGGAUGCUGGCAUAAUGGCUUUAAUCGACCCGUCUUGAAACACGGACCAAGGAGUCUAACAUGCCUGCGAGUAUUUGGGUGGAAAACCCGAGUGCGUAAUGAAAGUGAAAGUUGAGAUCCUUGUCAUGGGGAGCAUCGACGCCCGGACCAGACCUUUUGUGACGGAUCUGCGGUAGAGCAUGUAUGUUGGGACCCGAAAGAUGGUGAACUAUGCCUGAAUAGGGUGAAGCCAGAGGAAACUCUGGUGGAGGCUCGUAGCGAUUCUGACGUGCAAAUCGAUCGUCAAAUUUGGGUAUAGGGGCGAAAGACUAAUCGAACCAUCUAGUAAGCUGGUUCCUGCCGA
rnacentral:rRNA from 1 species